UGUAAUUUAAGCUUAAAACAAAACAGUCUGUUACAGUAAUAUGUGCCGGAAGCCGUACAUAUGCAGUAAAUACAUAUUGGUUUAUUUUGACGAUAAGUAAAAUAGUUUGGUGAGAGGAUUUCUACGCAUCAGUCAUGUUUACACUCAUAGAAGCUGACAUGUUGUAACAGAUUGACAUUGUUUUCAUUGUUAAGACAAAGUUUGGAUAACUCUGCUGCUGCGUAUCAAACUGCAGACAAAUUCACAAUCACGAAGCAAGAAGAAGAAGGAGAAGAAAAACCAGCAACAGUCCUCUGUGUUUCUCGGCUUUUUCUCCAACUUUCCUCCUUUCCCCUCGCUUUCAUUUAGUCCCAUAAAGCGCAGUUUUCAGUUGGCUUCAAAGCUCUGUGCCGAGCUCAGUUGGGGGCCUUCAAAGCCCCCUGUCUGUCGGCAGGUUUUAGGCGCAGAGAAAGCUUCUUGUUCUUUAAGGAUUUGGCUCACAAAUAACGCCCAGCCAGGGCCAAGGCAACUAUAGCUUGCACCCUGACAGGAUGGUAAAGGCAAACCGGUGCAUUUCACUGAUGUGUUUUGGGGGGCUGUUCCUGCAUCUGUCCGAGAUGACUGGGACUGGAUUCUACAAGGAGCAGACUUCAGCUUUUUUUAGGCCUCCAUGACGCUAGCGGCUAGCAGCUACCUCAACCAGGUGCACAGACUCCUCAUCGCGCCUGGGCGGAACAUGAAACGGUCCCUCCAGCUGGAAGAGCGAGAGCUGUGUGGGCUUCCUGAAGUGGUGCAGCGCCGGGUCAUCGGAGAGCCGCAGUGCAUGCUUGGGAACAGAAGCAGCUAUCUGUGUUAUUUCAGCAGCAGCAGCAUGUUGGAUGAAGGGCCCUUCCACGGGCAUUAUGGAUUAAUCUUUGGCAGGAUCUCAACUGGAUCGGCCCAAAAAUGGGAUGUUUAACCUCACGUGUAGCAGAACCGCUGUGAUAAAGCGGGAUAGAGAGAGGAUUGAGCGUGACCCACAUUGGGACUGUUCUAAAUGUAUUACCUGUGUUGACUGUUUAUGAAGGUAUGUGCUAAAAGGGUAUGUGCUCUGCAAACCCACAAUGUUACUCCAAGAGAA